rnacentral:rRNA from 1 species
AGAGUUUGAUCCUGGCUCAGGACGAACGCUGGCGGCAUGCCUAACACAUGCAAGUCGAACGGACCUAGCAAUAGGUUAGUGGCGAACGGGUGAGUAAUACAUGAGCAACCUGCCUCAAACAGGGGGAUAACACCGGGAAACUGGUGCUAAUACCGCAUAAGACCACAGCGCGGCAUCGCGCAGGGGUAAAAACGAUUUAGUGGUUUGAGAUGGGCUCAUGUCCCAUUAGCUAGUUGGUGAGAUAACAGCCCACCAAGGCGACGAUGGGUAGCCGACCUGAGAGGGUGAUCGGCCACAUUGGGACUGAGACACGGCCCAGACUCCUACGGGAGGCAGCAGUGGGGAAUAUUGGGCAAUGGGCGAAAGCCUGACCCAGCAACGCCGCGUGAGGGAAGAAGGUUUUCGGAUCGUAAACCUCUGUUGUGGGGGACGAGGAGAUGACGGUACCCCACGAGGAAGCUCCGGCUAACUACGUGCCAGCAGCCGCGGUAAUACGUAGGGAGCGAGCGUUGUCCGGAUUUACUGGGUGUAAAGGGUGCGUAGGCGGCCGAGCAAGUCAGUUGUGAAAACUAUGGGCUUAACCCAUAACGUGCAAUUGAAACUGUCCGGCUUGAGUGAAGUAGAGGUAGGCGGAAUUCCCGGUGUAGCGGUGAAAUGCGUAGAGAUCGGGAGGAACACCAGUGGCGAAGGCGGCCUACUGGGCUUUAACUGACGCUGAGGCACGAAAGCAUGGGUAGCAAACAGGAUUAGAUACCCUGGUAGUCCAUGCCGUAAACGAUGAUUACUAGGUGUGGGGGGACUGACCCCUUCCGUGCCGCAGUUAACACAAUAAGUAAUCCACCUGGGGAGUACGACCGCAAGGUUGAAACUCAAAGGAAUUGACGGGGGCCCGCACAAGCAGUGGAGUAU